GCGAAUGUGUUGGAAUGGUAGACAAUUGAUUCUUAAGAAGUCACGGUAGUAAUACCAUGAGGGUUCAAGUCCCUCCAUUCGUA
rnacentral:tRNA from 1 species